CAAGUCUGAGGCAGGGCCUAAAACUCUGCAAUUCCAGCUACAUCUCAGCUGACGCCGAGGCUGGAAAUCUAUGGAUCAUAGUUUGGGAGUAAGUCCACGCACUGCAAACUCGAUCCCCAAAGUCAUUGGCUGAUGGCAUUUGAAGGUGGCUCUUCAGGAGCAAGAAGGCCCUCUCCAUCUGCUGGUGCCAUGUGCUUGGGCAUCCCAGCCUCCUGAACGGCUCCAUGGUAGCUAAUUUCCCAUCCCCUCCAUGUUCCAGCUCUGGGAGAAGUGUGACAAAGGCUUCCAAGGGGCUGUCUGCUUGCGGCCCGAUCUUUCACAUGGAUUCUCUUGAGCAGGGAGCCCUCCCUCCUGAGAGCUCUCUGCCCUCAGAGAGGAUCAACCCAGCUGACGCUUUGAGUACGAGCUUCCGGCCUCCAGAACGAGGAGUCUUGCUGUUGUCAGAGUCUUGAUGGAAUUCCUUGAAAAUGAGGGCAUCAUCUUGUGGGUAAGAUCUGAGCAGGCUGCUCAUGCCAGG
ensembl:lncRNA